CAUGUACUCCCUCCGUCCAGAAAUACUUGUCAUCAAAAUGGAUAAAAGGGAUGUAUCUAGACGUAUUUUAGUUUUAGAUACAUCUUUUUUUAUCCAUUUUGAUGACAAGUAUUUUCGGACAGAGGGAGUACUGU
rnacentral:pre_miRNA from 1 species